rnacentral:rRNA from 1 species
CUUGGUUGAUCUUGCCAGUAGUCAUAUGCUUGUCUCAAAGAUUAAGCCAUGCAUGUGUAAGUGUGAACUAAUUCAAACUGUGAAAUUAUGAAUGGCUCGUUACAUUAGUUAUAGUUUGUUUAAUGGUAUCUACUACUUGGAUAAUUGUAGUAAUUCUAGAGCUAAUAUAUACAAUAAACUCUAACUUCUGGAUAAAAAGUCAAUGUAGGCUUUGCCCUUUGCUUUGAUGCUUCAUGAUAACUUAAUAGAUCACACAGCCUUUAUACUAGUGACACAUCAUUCAAAUUUUUACCCAUUCAACUUUCAAUGGUAGGAUAAUGGCCUACUAUGGUGGUGAUGGGUGACAGAAAAUUAGGGUUUGAUUUUGGAGAAAGAGCUUGAGAAAUGGCUACCACAUCCAAGGAAGGCAACAAGCAUGCAAAUUACCUAAUCUUGAAAUGGGGGGGUAAUGACAAUAAAUAACAAUGCCAAAAGCUAUAAGUAUUGUAAUUGGAAAGAGUACAAUCUAAAUCUCUUAACGAGAAUCCAUUUAAGGGUAAGUUUGGUGCCAGUAGCCAUGGUAAUUCCAACUCCAGUAGCAUAUAUUUAAAUUGUUGCAGUUAAAAAGCUUGUAGUUAGAACUAGGGUUAGGUCAUCUAGUCUACCUCACGGUAAGCAUCGAUCUACUCAUCCAUACUACUGGUGAUGUGCUCCUAGCCUUAAUUGGCCAAGUUGCUCCUCUGGUGCUAUUACUUUGAAGAAAUUAAAGUGCUCAAAGUAGGCUUAUGCUUGUAUACAUUAGCAUAAGAUGACAUCAUAAGAUUUUGGUCCUAUUGUGUUAGCGUUCAAGAUCAGAGUAAUGAUUAAUAGGGAUAGUUAUGGGCAUUCAUAUUUCAUAGUUAAAAGUGAAAUUCUUGGAUUUAUGAAAGAUGAACAACUAUGAAAGCAUUUGCCAGGGAUGUUUUCAUUAAUCAAGAGUGAAAGUUGAAGGCUCAAAGAUGAUCAGAUACCAUCUUAGUCUCAACCAUAAAUGAUGCUAGCUAGGGAUCAAUGGAUGUUACUUUUAGGACUUCGUUGGCACAUUAUGACAAAAUCAAAGUCUUUCGAUUCUAGGGGGAGUAUGGUUGAAAGGCUAAAACUUAAAAGAAUUGAUGGAAAGGCACCAUCAGGAGUGGAGCCUGUGGCUUAAUUUGACUCAACACUGAGAAACUUACCAAGUCUAGACAUAGUAAAGAUUCAUAGACUGAGAACUCUUUCUUAAUUCUAUGGGUGGUAAUGCAUGGUUGUUCUUAAUUGGCAGAGCAAUUUGUCUGGUUAAUUCCAUUAAUGAACAAGACUUUAACCUGUUAACUAGCUACAUGGAGGUGAUCAUUCAUGACUGGCUUUUUAGAGGGACUAUGGUCGCUUAGGCCAAGGAAGUUUGAGGCAAUAACAAGUUUGUGAUACCCUUAGAUGUUUUAAGCCACACGUCCACUACACUAAUGUAUUCAAUAAGUCUAUAGCCUUGGCUGAUAGGCUCGGGUAUUUGAAAUUUCAUCAUGAUAAAAAUAGUUAUUGCAAUUAUUGGUCCUCAACAAGGAUUUCCUAAUAAGUGCAAGUCAUCAGCUCGUAUUGACUAUGUCCAUACCCUUUGAACACACCACCCAUUUCUCCUACUAAUUGAAUAGUUCGAUGAAGUGUUCAGAUCAUGGUGACAUGGACAAUUCAUUACCCAUGACAUCGCAAGAAGUCCACUAAACCUUAUCAUUUAAAGGAAGGAAAAGUCAUAACAAGGAUUUCGUAGGUGAAACUAUAGAAG